rnacentral:rRNA from 1 species
UCUCUCUGAAUCUGCGUACGGCUCAUUAAAACAGUUAUAGUUUAUUUGAUAAGUAAACCUACAUGGAUAACCGUAGUAAUUCUAGAGCUAAUACAUGCCAAGAAGCCCGACUCUAUGGAAGGGCGGUAUUUAUUAGAUAUCAAACCAUUACCCGCAAGGGUUUUGUGAUGAUUCAUAAUAACUGAACGAAUCGCAGGUCUCUGCGAUGAAUCAUUCAAGUUUCUGCCCUAUCAGCUUUCGAUGGUAGUGUAUUGGACUACCAUGGCAGUCACGGGUAACGGAGAAUUAGGGUUCGAUUCCUGGAGAGUGGGCCUGAGAGAUUGUUAG